rnacentral:rRNA from 1 species
UACGUAGGCAGCGAGCGUUGUUCGGAGUUACUGGGCGUAAAGGAUGCGUAGGCGGAUGCUUAAGUCAGAUGUGAAAAUCCCGGGCUUAACUUGGGAACUGCAUUUGAAACUGGGCAUCUAGAGUGUGGGAGAGGAAAGUGGAAUUCCUAGUGUAGCGGUGAAAUGCGUAGAGAUUAGGAAGAACACCAGUGGCGAAGGCGACUUUCUGGACCAUAACUGACGCUGAGGAGCGAAAGCGUGGGGAGCGAACAGG